GAGAAAAAUAUUCAUUUUCAAAAUGGGGUGUUCUCAAUUAUGCUGAGCACUGUAUAUUAUUUUAGGAUGGGUGUCCCAUGCACAUAACAUCAGUGAAAGAUUAUUAAAAAAUUUCAACCAGACGAUAAUACAUAUAUUUUGCUUAAUGCAGUGGCGUUCAUACACUUUCAGAGCCGUUUCCAAAUGUCUUUUUUUCACUCCAUUACGUGAGGUGGCGCUCUUAACCUUAUUCAUAUGAACGUCUAAAAAUGUGUCCAUGUGCGAGGAACUUCCACCCGGGUGUUUCAGAUCUCCGUGCGUCAACCACCCAAGCAUUUACACCUGAAUGGAGUUUUCAGAGGAGAAGGUGAGAAUCCCGUUCGAGCAGAAAGAGCUGGAUGGCUUGUUCUCGGUACCCGAUGACGUCACGGCGGGCAUUCCAGC